rnacentral:siRNA from 1 species
CAUUUCGCAAGAUAAUCUGCUC